AGAGUUUGAUCCUGGCUCAGAACGAACGCUGGCGGCGUGGAUAAGACAUGCAAGUCGAACGGGAAACAUUUUAAGCUUGCUUUGAAUGUUUCUAGUGGCGGACGGGUGAGUAACACGUGAGCAACCUGCCCUGAAGUGGGGAAUAGCCCGGGGAAACUCGGAUUAAUACCGCAUGUGAUCGCAAGAUUAAAGGUGGCGUAAGCUGCCGCUUCAGGAUGGGCUCGCGGCCUAUCAGCUAGUUGGUGAGGUAACGGCUCACCAAGGCGACGACGGGUAGCUGGUCUGAGAGGAUGAUCAGUCACACUGGAACUGAGACACGGUCCAGACACCUACGGGUGGCAGCAGUCGAGAAUCAUUCGCAAUGGGCGAAAGCCUGACGGUGCGACGCCGCGUGGAGGAUGAAGGCCCUCGGGUCGUAAACUCCUGUCAUCAGGGAGUAAGGCUUUAUAUAGUAACUGAUAUAAAGAUUGAUAGUACCUGAAGAGGAAGGGACGGCUAACUUCGUGCCAGCAGCCGCGGUAAUACGAAGGUCCCAAGCGUUGUUCGGAUUUACUGGGCGUAAAGCGUCUGUAGGCGGUUAGGUAAGUCAGAUGUGAAAUCCCGGGGCUCAACCUCGGAACUGCAUCCGAUACUGCCUGACUAGAGUAUUGGAGGGGGGUCUGGAAUUCUCGGUGUAGCAGUGAAAUGCGUAGAUAUCGAGAGGAACACUAGUGGCGAAGGCGAGACUCUGGACAAUAACUGACGCUGAGAGACGAAGGCCAGGGUAGCGAAAAGGAUUAGAUACCCUUGUAGUCCUGGCAGUAAACGGUGCACGCUUGGUGUGCGGGGAAUCGACCCCCUGCGUGCCGGAGCUAACGCGUCAAGCGUGCCGCCUGGGGAGUACGGCCGCAAGGUUAAAACUCAAAGGAAUGACGGG
rnacentral:rRNA from 1 species